AGAAAAUUAAACUCAAAGGCUGAAACCGUUGUUUACUUUUUCAUCAUUAAAGUGAACGUUUUUUUUUUGUAAUUCUUCCUGCUCCUACUAUUUCAAAAUAUGAAAAUGGAACUUCAAUUGAAAGUUUCGUUCAUGGAAUCGACUCUCAUGUUCGGUCUGGCUAUUGGGUGAAAUGGAACUUAUUGCUCUGGCUUAGCUGAUCCCAAUGCAGGGGGGUUUGGGAUGGAAAACUUGGUCUUGGGCUUGCUGUUGAAACAGUUACACAGUACUCAUAUAGACGUUAGCGUAAUUAAGACCAAUGGCCACUUUCAAAGUACAUAACCAGAUCGAAAGCCUCGGGUCACUUUUCGUAUUGCAAUUGAAGAUAAAGUGAUUCCAAGAUGAGAAGUUCCACAAAAAACUUGAGACAAAUACCAACAGAAAUAUCUUUUGGGUUGUUUUAGAAAAGCAGACCCAUUCUGCCAAGAGAGACAAGGGUUAAACUUCCUUACAAAUCCGUGGCGGAUAUUCAGUAAUUAGAAGGACAUCCUAUUUAUCACAAGAAGCAAAUGCACAUUAGUAGAUUUUGUAGUAUCAAUUUGUUAAACUAUUUGUGUUUGUUUAUCUGCAGUAUAAGUUAUGCAUGCACGAAUUUGCUUAUGCUUUGUGAUGUAUUUAUGUUCUUAGAUAUAAAUUUCUGGUUUCCAAGAGGUUCGAAUUUGGCAAAUAAACAGAUAAUUAAAUAUUCAAUGUU